CCGGAGCUGCCCCCGCCUCGCCUCCCGGGCCGGGCCGGGCUGGAGGGGCGUAGCGCCCGGGGGUGUCGGCAGGCCCCGGCCGCCCUCUGGCCGGAGGGGCUGGGCGGGCCUGCCCUGCCCUGCCGGCGCUUGGCAGCUGCUUUCACGUGGAGCCGGGCAGCCUCCGUUUGCUGAGGACUCUCUUUCAACUUGUGGCUGGAUUUUGAAGGCUUGGAGAGUUCCCCACUCCACCAUCUGCCUUUGGAAGCGGUAAUUAAGCUGCAAAAACUAAAGGCCUGACACUGACAUGGCACAGUCUCAGUGGUUUUGACAGAUGGACAUGGGAAGGAGCCAACUGAGAGAAUUGUGGGGUGCCUGUGUGAAACACUGCUGCAGGGGGCUGUGACAGAAGGGACAAAAAACCCCCUCAGCUGCUGCUGGGAGGCAGUGGGCGACAACAGAAAGGUGCAGACAGCAGAAAAGCUUUUCAGAGAGUUCCUCCUGUUAUGUGAAGAAUCACCUCCUUGAGAAAACUGUGUGCACAUGAUUUCUAGCUGCCUUCCCACGUGUAGUGUGAUCCAUUUUGCCUUCUGUAACUCUUUUAUGGUUAAUUUCUGACUUCCAGAAUGACUGGAAUUUUUUGAAAAAUCAAGAUGUGAAUGCAUAAUUUAAAUGAAAUUGUUUUCCUUGUGAAUGGGGGUUGCUUGGGCAGCCUUAAAGCUGAGCUUCCCAAGAUUUAUGUGUUACACCCUAAAAAUUAUUCUUCAAAUGCUAGUUUAGACAAAGAAGGAUAGAAAGAAGAGAAAUUUCUCACUUUGUUAGAAGACAGAAAUUGAUAUUCUUCUCAUUGCUUUUAUAUAUAAUAUUAACACCCUUGGUUUGUUGAAUUAGUUUCUGCCAAUUCAUUUCAUGAAAAUGUUUGUGAAAAAGUUAAUUACUUCAGUAUCUAUCUGUUAUGGUUUGCAGGCCAAGCAGUGGAACAUGAUGUGACACGUAACACACCAAUCAACCCUAUAACACAAACUAUUCUGUCUAUACAAAAACAUGGUAAUUUUUAUUGUGUAGAUUUUAGGGGUCAUCCUGAGGUUGUCUAAAAAACCAGAACUGGUCUCUGUUGGCAAAGAGGCUGCAAGGGUGGCUUGAGGUGAUACCAGUUGCUGUCAUGCAUGAUGACAUGCAGAUCUCUCUGUUAUGAUGAGUGAGUAUGGCUGUCAUGUUGGACUGGCAGUGUGAAAAUUCUUUCUGUACAUUCUUUCUUAAUAUACCUAAGUAAAGCUAUGCUCUCAAUUUGAUUAAUAAAUCUUU